GACAGAGGGUGCAAACGUUGUUCGGAAUUACUGGGCGUAAAGCGCGUGUAGGCGGCCCUGUAAGUCGGGUGUGAAAUCCCACGGCUCAACCGUGGAAGUGCAUUCGAAACUACAGGGCUAGAGUUCUGGAGAGGAAGGUGGAAUGCUUGGUGUAGAGGUGAAAUUCGUAGAUAUCAAGCGGAACGCCGGUGGCGAAGGCGGCCUUCUGGACAGUGACUGACGCUGAGACGCGAAAGCGUGGGGAGCAAACAGG
rnacentral:rRNA from 1 species